UAAUACGAACCGUCCAAACGUUAUUCGGAAUUACUGGGCUUAAAGGGUUUGUAGGCGGCCUUGUAAGUGGGGUGUGAAAUCCCUCGGCUCAACCGAGGAAUAGCGCUCCAAACUACAUGGCUUGAGGGAGACAGGGGUUAGCGGAACUGAUGGUGGAGCGGUGAAAUGCGUUGAUAUCAUCAGGAACACCGGUGGCGAAAGCGGCUAACUGGGUCUCUUCUGACGCUGAGAAACGAAAG
rnacentral:rRNA from 1 species